GGGACCUCUAGUAGAUUUAAUAAUGCAAUAAUUACAAUAUGAUAGUAUUAUAGUUAUCAAUUUUAAUAUUUCAUUUAUUAGACGCGCGGCGUAUCGUGGCUUUACUCUUGAGAUGAUUGUGUAAUGCGAUGAAAUAACAUUAUUUUAGUUUGGUAAUGCAUUUCUAUAUUGUAUUAAGGUAUGUGACGUAAGCAUAGCGUAGUUUAGAAAAUUGAGAAAGGGCUUUUCCGGUUUAUUUUUCUAUCGAGUUUUUUUUUAAAUUGAGCUUGUAGGCAGACUAACGUACGGCCCACGUACUGGGCGGUGAUUACCGUCGUUCAUGAUCGUCAGUAAUGCGAGGGGCACAGUAAAGUCGCAUCCUACCUACCUAGUACCUACUUAGUACUCCUAUUAUCUACUUAGUACACUUAGUACCUACUCUCCACAAAACCCGUUUCCAUAUAGUAGUGACAGUAGAAACGUGGAAAGAUAUUUAAGCUAUUGCAUAGCUUUUAUCGCAGCCUUUGAGCGUGGCGACCGAAUCAAGAAAUUCCGUAACGAAAAUAAAACCUAACACCUCCCACUCUGCCUACCAUGUAGCUCGCGAUCAACACAUUCACACGUUGCGCUUGUGUAGUGUUUGUGAAUAAACGCGCGGCGUGACGUCGCACUGAAUGCGCAUCAUGUCUUAUUUUAUUAUUGUUUUAAUAUUAAAUUAUUAUUCUCCAAUUAUAAUUGCAUAAGUUGAUAAAAAACACUAUGCAAUAGCUUUACCGCGGCAGUCCCCGAGUGCCACACGUGUUUUUUUUUUUAUAAAAGAACUAAAUGCUGACAAGUACCUAAUUAAAAAAAUAUACCUAUCGAAAUGUACCUACUUUCCGUGAUGCACAUAAUUAUGUCAAUGAGCUCUCCUUUCUUUGUUGAUUUUCUUUGUAUAAUGUAUUGCUUGGAGCCCUAAUUUGAAUCCUUGAUUCUCUGUCCCUGUUCCCACAGACACAGCCCACUGAGUUUCUCGCCGGAUCUUCUCAGUGGGUCGAGUUUCCGAUCCGGCGGUAGAUUCUGCGAAGCACUGCUGUUGCUAGAGCUAAUGUUAGCAAACGUCAGCUUAGAGCCCCUUGAGCUCAUAUACUCGCUCGUCAAAUCUAAUAUGACUCCUCCAGGUCACUAGAAUAGGAAAAAAAUGUCCCUGUUACACGGACACAUUGAGGAAUUAUUAUGAAAUUAUUAUUAAGAUGGUGCGGAUCACUCCCGUUGUUGCGGACCUCUUUUCUAUUUUGAUAGCUGAUGUAGUUUUUUAUUCUUGGCUUUUGACGUUGUCUAUUCAUUUUUAUCUAUUUCUUUUCUGUUUGCUUGACUUUCUGUUUUUUUUUAUUAAAAAAUAAUUAAUCUUCAACUUGUAUCAUCGUUUUAUCAUUUGCAGCUUCGAUCAACAAUAGUAACUAGAUUUAGGGUCGGCGCAAAAAUCCGUCUCGUCAAAUAACAGCUCACUUGAAAUGUGGGCUCUUAUUUUGUUUAGUUCAUAUCAGACACAGCCAAUGUCAACCCGUCUCACAAGGCCGCAGUGUAUAUUCAAAAGUUGCAAAAAAUGCCCGAAAUAGCAAUUUAACGGCCGGAGUAUUUUACUUUCGGUAAGUACAUGAAGUUAUAUUUUAAGCUUUAAGCAAAUAAAUAAUAUUAAAUUUUAAACAAAAUUACCGAUUUUUAAUUCACGCGGCCGGUUUUUUCUUUGAUUUUGUACAUGUCCCUUUAUCUAGUUACUAUUGUUGAUCGAAGAUUUGCAGAGAUUAUUUUGGUUUAUUUAUUUCACCCGUCAUCAUUAUUAUCAUGUCUUCUUGCUAAAAUCGCCUCUGGAGCAAAUACCACCGAGUCUCCAGCUAUAUUCACUCGCAUGGCUGCGUCCUGCAGUUACCGAUUUCCUUAAUUGAUGGUAGCUUGACCAAGCAGUCUGCCUUCCGCAAUUAAAACCUCACGUCACGGACAAGAUUAGCACUAUAUUUAGGGCGUGCGUCUAUAAAAUCUAUAUAUAGACCGAACAAGAAACUCAGCCGGCAUCAAUAUACAUAUAAUAAUACAAUAGAAUCCGCUGUGUCUGUAUGUUGAAGGAAUUUUUUAAUGUAGAAAGUAAUGUUACAUACGAAAUUAACUAAUGGUCUCCUGGUAGUCGAAAUUCGACUAUAGUUAAUUGAAAUUAUAAAUUUGUACAGUAUUAUGAUAUUUUUUUUAUUGCCCUUGUAGGCAGACGAGCAUACGGCCCACCUGAUGGUGAGUGGUUACCGUCGCCCAUGGAUUCAGCAAUGCCAGGGGCAGAGCCAAGCCGCUGCCUACCGCUUAAUACUCUCCACAAGCCUCGUUUGAAGAAGGACAUGUCAUAGCGCUCGGGAAACACCGUGGAGGGGAGCUCAUUCCAUAGCCGGAUGGUACGUGGCAAAAAAGAUCUCUGGAAACGCACUGUGGACGACCGCAGUGGCUCCAGGUAGUAUGGAUGAACUCUACUCCGGUGGCGGGCGGUGCGAUGGUAAAAACGAGAUGCCGGUAUCAUCUCGAACAAUUCCUCAGAGUACUCCCCAUGGAACAUACGGUACAGAAUACAGAGGGAACCGAAAUCCCUCCGCAGACCCAGACCCAUUCUAUUGUCAAAGACUAUUAUACUUUUAUAUUCACAGACUUCGCCAAGAAUACACUUUAGACAAAUAAUAAUAAAGACAAACAAUAUUUAAUCUAUACUCAAUUUGACCACAGACUAUAAGUAAUAAGAAAAGUUUGACACUAAACAAAUAGUAUCCAAGCGUGCGUGUGUCAAAUACAUGGUAGUUUGUGUAAUGUUUUUUUAAUUGAUUCCAUGUAUUUUUAUGCAUAAUUCUGCACUUCAGUUAACUUUUACGCUAUCGAGAACGUUAGAAAACUCGCACUAAGCACACAGAUUACCGAUUUUGACGAAAUUCAGUAUUCAUUUAGACCCCGGAAAAGAAUAUACUGCGGGUAUAAUCCUAUACGACUUCUGAACUCGAGUUUCCGCUCAUGCGAUAUAAAGUGUGGUCCACGCAGACGAGACUGACGACAGAAAGCUGUUCUAACAAUAUUAGAAUAGGCAAGUCUGCUGCAAACUGUUGGGGCAGUUUUUUUCGGGACUGCAGUAAUCCUACCUUUAGUAGAAGUUCAUUUUAAAACUCAGUACGACUAUAAUGUCACCCGAACAAUAAAUAAAUAUUUUUUUGAAUAUCUACGACAUUAAAUACGAAUGCCUAUUGCCACAAUUUUGCUCAUAUUUUUCAGGAAAAUCGUAGAUCCGUUCACAGAAAAGUCGCAAAACGAUCACGUUAAAAAUCAACAAAUUGAAACUAAUUUUAUAGUAUUUAUCAGUAUUUAUGCAUAUUUGUAAUGUUCUAAAUGGUGGGUAAUGAAAAAACAAAGAACAUUGCUUAGAUACAACCAACAUUAACUAAGUCAGGAAUGUAAUCAAGGAGAAAUACAAGACUUGCUCCAGUCGAUUAGAUAGUGUAUUCAAUAUCGUAGUCUAUUGACCGGGGGUCGGUCUGUCCCUGGGCUGCACCUCCCAGGGGAUGCCGCUCUACUCCUCGCAUCGGAUAUGGAUAAUACAAGCAUGCUAUAACUCGAUGCUGGUAGCUUGCUUUUUUUGGACAGUGUGUUUUGAAUUUUGUAGAUAUUGUUACACGCUGGGGUUCGGGAUAAAUAAAAUUUCAACCAAACUACAAAUUAACACUGUAUUAACACUUGGAAUACUUAAAACGCUUAAUGAACACUUUAAAAUUCUCAAUUUCGAUCUUCCGCUCCGGUUCAGGUGAUCCGUUCGCUGUUUCGCUUCGAGUAGAUCCGAUUACUAACUGCCUUCGUGACAUCCCCAGAGUUAUCGAAAACGUUCCUCACAAGUCGAGUAUGUGUGUGGCGUUGUACUUCUCGAGCGUUCUCGAUUUUACUAGUUCCUUUGAUUAUCGUUUCUGCUAUUUGACGAUAGAUGGCGUUGCUCUUACUGGGGUAACAAUGUGUAAUAAAGUAUAUUUCAGAUUACCCCUUCGUUUACAGUUACCAUGGAACGUUUAUAGACCGGACAUUGAGAAACGAACGCAAAACAUAUACCUAGUCUUGCCAUAAAUACUGAGACAAAAAAAAUCUAUUGCAAAUAACAUUUAUUACUUUUACAGUGUGUUGUUAAUACAUGAAUAUAAAACAAUUUAAAGUAUAAAAAGCUUAUUAGAAGUGGUCUCCAUUGGCUGCAAUACAGUCCUUUAAACGUUGAGGCCAGUUAUCAAUAGAAGCACGCACUCUUUCCAUGGGAAAAAUUUUCACUGCCGAUCGUACGGAUUGUUUUAGGGACUCCAAAUUAUCAUGGCGUUUAGAGCAAGCCGUACUCUCUAAAACUGACCAUAAAUCAUAAUCCAGCGGAUUAAGAUCGGGACUAGACGACGGCCAGUCUUCAGCUCUGAUGAAGUCCGAAACGUUCGUUUCCAACCAAGACUGCGUAAACCGAGCUUUAUGACCUGGCGCCGAGUCUUGCUGGAAGGACCAUUCUUGACUAUUGAACAUGGUGUUGUUAAGGGGCUUCACUACCUUCUUAAGAAUGGUAUCUUGAUACGCUUGUGCCGAUGUUUUGAUACCUUUUUCACAAAAGUAUGGCUCAGUCACUCCUUCAUAGCUAAUACCCCACCAAACCAUCACUGAAGUCGGUUAGUGCCCACGUUGCACUCUGUUGACUAAUUGGGAAGCUUCCUUAGAGCUUUGAGCAUAAAUACGGUCAUUUUGUUUGUUAAAAUGUUGCUCAAUUGUAAAAAAUUUCUCAUCCGUAAACAAAAUUUUUCUAUGACCUCCCUUUGCGUACCGCUUCAGUAGUUGUUUCGAUUUUACCACCCUAUUCUCUUUUAAAUUAUCAGUUAAGAAAUGACCAGUACGUCUCUUAUAGACUGCAAGUCCUAAGUCAUCUUUUAAAAUACGCGACAUGGUUCUAGGUGCUAUCUUCAUCUCCCGAGAUAAAAUCUUUUGCUUUCGGACAGGAUUUCUUCGAAUGCUUUCCCUUACUGCUUUGACCACCAUUUCCGUACGAACACUACGUGGAUGGCCAAAUCUUUUUCUGUCACAAGCAGAGGAGGUCUCAUUGCACCUAUUAAUAGCCCGGUACACCAACAUUUUACUAAUACCAAGCGUAUGGAGAGUUUUAAAAAUUGCAUUUGGCUCCAUAUCUACUUUGUGUAAUGGAAUCACAGCGAUUCGGUUCUCUUUAUCACCCCACUCCACUUUAAUAUCGCAAAAUAUUGUACAAUGUAUUGGCAUCAAAAUGAGAAAACUCAAAGAGCAAUCAUAAACAAAUGACAGAUUCCAAAUUCAAAUGUAAUAUUUUGUUUAUUUUUAAUUGUAACAGUAUUUAUGGCCAGACUAAGUAUAUAACGCGUCAUGUGAAUUAUGAAACAAUUUGUGCAUCACUGUACAAAUUGUUCACUUUUGAAUAUUCAUAUUAAAGGAGGUUCAAAUCUAAUAUUAAGAAGGUAAAGAACAACUUAUGUGAGUUUUAUUAAAUUCAAACUAAGAACAUUCUAAAUACAUAGAUGAAUAUGCGAAAAAUCCCCGCGUUAGAUGGAGGAAACAAUUUGCAUACGAGAUACAGGAUCACGUUAUAUCAUAACGCGUUAAAAGAGUACCGCGUUAUACGAGACUAGUGAAAACAGGAUGCAUUAAUGUAGACGAAGGACGUGUAUGAAAUCGUAGACAAAAAAUGUAUCUACCCUCUUUAGUCAUUUCAGAGUAAUUUACGUUAGCGAACUAUAAUGAGUGGUAGGAUAACAUAAUUUUCAGUUUUGCGUGUGUGUACAUUACUAAAUGAGCUAGGAUGGAAAACGAAAUGGUCUUGGUAUAACGGGGGCAUGAUGAGCGCCUUUAAUUAAAUAAACAAUUUACUUGGUAGUUUAAUUAUUAUUUUAGAGCGGGCUGCCGGCCGCCGGUGCGUGUGCAUACAUAAUUCUCUCGCUGCUUUAAUAAGCUGUAAGUGGACGAAAGAGAGCUUUUGAAAUAUGCAGAUUUUUUUUUCAUAUAAUGCCACCAAAUUAUAAAUCGUCGUGGCCUAAAGGAUAAGACGUCCGGUGCAUUCGUGUUGAGCGAUGCACCGGUGUUCGAAUUCCGCCGGCGGGUACCAGUUUUCUAAUGAAAUACGUACUCAACAAAAGUUCACGAUUGACUUUCACGGUGAAGGAAUAACAUCGUGGAAUAAAAAUCAAACCCGCAAAAUUAUAAUUUGCGUAAUGAGUGGCGGUAGGACCUCUUGUGAGUCCGCUCGGGUAGGUACCACCACCCUGCCUAUUUCUGCCGUGAAGCAGUGAUGCGUUUCGGUUUGAAGGGUGGGGCAGCCGUUGAAACUAUACUGAGACCUUAGAACGUAAUAUAUAUAUCAAUGUGGGUAGCGCAUUUACGUCGUAGAUGUCUAUGGGCUCCAGUAACCACUUAACACCAGGUGGGCUGUGAGCUCGUCUACCCAUCUCAGCAAUAAAAAAACAUUUAAUUUCAUUAUUACUGAAAUAUGUGAUUCGGGGAUGGUUUGCUUAAUUGUUUACGUAAUGGUUUGCAAAGGAAUGCAAGUUUACCAACUCAGUCAAAGAUCUUCCCGUUUGUCGAUCGAAAAAGGUUUAAAUUACUUAGGUUGAAACAGACAACAUAACAAUUAUAACCAACUUAGUUCAUAUGACAUGAAUACAAAAAUUAUAGAACAAAUGUGAAGCGCAGUGUUUAUUUCAAGUGUGUAUGUACUUUAUAAUGGGCUGUCUCGUUGAAAUUUUGGAAAUAUUCCAGGUUCAGUAGUCGUAUGAAAAUGUGGAAGCACACAUAAUAUAUUGGCUGUUCUGUCUUCAUUGUACUUCCGCUAACGAGUGGCUGAGACUUAAGUUUGGAAAAAGGUGGUAUUUUAAAGUUUAAUGAAAUGAUAUAAAUGAUAAAGUGUACGCUCACGGGUCUAAAGAAGCUGCUCAAGUGGUCGGAAAGGUACAACGUGGUCAUCAGUGGUUUGGUGAGGCGGGUCAAGGGGCCACGGGACUACAUUUUUGUGAAAAAGGAGUGAAAACUUCAGCCAAAUUGUGUCAAGAUACAGUCUUGGAACGUGUUGUGAAACCUCUCAGCAAUACACUUUUAAAAAUAUACCGUGGACUUUCCAGUAAGACUCUGCACCUGGUCACAAGGCAACUACCCAAGCCUGGCUUGAAACCAACAUUCCGGACUUGAUAAGAGCUGAAGACUGGCCCUCAUCUAGCCUAGACUUCAACCUUUUAGACUUCAAAUUAUGGUCAGUUUUAGAGGACAUGGCUUGCUUUAAACGACAUGAUGACAUUGAGUCUCUUAAAAAAUCUUUACAGCAAGCAGUGGCAAAAUUUCCCUUGGAAACAGUGCGUAAAUCCAUAGAUUCGUGGCCAAACAGAUUAAAGACCUGUAUAAAAAAGCGAAAGGUGGCAUUUCGAAUAGAAUAUUUUUUAAUUUUUGCUGAGACUUUAAUAAAUAUGUAGAUGACGGCGUUAACGAUAUUUAUGUUAUAUAGCACGUGCAAUAGGAGUGACUCACACAAGCCAGGCGCGCCGGCCGUGUCGUUCCACUCGUAAACAACAGCUGCAACAGAAGUGACUCAUAAGCCAGCUGCGCCGGCUAGUAUAAAAAGGCGGAACGUGCCUUGAAAUGAACAUUCGUUGGACUGCGCUUGCCUGGUGCACUUACUAUAUCCUUGUUACGUUGUGUGAUUCAGUGACUGUUGUACGUACUGGUUAAAGUUGGACAAGUGUUAAAGUGAAUUGUUAAGAUAACAUAUUAUUGAUUAAAUCAGGAACCAAAAAGUGACAUCGUUUUACUUGGUGUUCAACAAGAUAAUGUCUACCCUCAAGCUUACAUCAGAAGUGGGAUCAGGACUCUACUCUCACUGGCGUGACGUGUUUGACCAUGUUCGAAGUACAGCAAAAAAAACAUGAUGCAGAUCAGAAUACUAGUAGUGGUACGCCACAAGAGCGUGAAUGCAGCAUACUUUGUCUGUCGACGUCAUCACAUGGCGUUUACUAACGGAAAUACAACACGUAACAAGCUAUUGCAAGAAAUUAAGGCAAGUGCAAAUCUCAAGUGAAACUUCGAUCGCAAUAAUGGAUCUGUCAUGACGAGUGGGUAGUUCCGACACGAAUCGUUUUUAAGCCAAUGACUACUGCUAGAGUUACAUGGCACUAGUACAGUAAACCAGGACAUGAGACUGUGAAUUGUCGCUGAAAUUUUAGAAUCUACUCGAUUCAAUACCAAUAACACUACACGUUCGAUGACUUCGGGCUCCAGCAAGCAAGCAAACAAGAAAGCAAGCAAGUUUCCGUGGGGAAGAAAAAUUGACACAUCUGAAGUCGUCGUGACCUGUAAGAUAAGACGUCCGGUGCGUUCGUGUCUGGCGAUGCGGCGGUGUUCGGGUUCCGCUGGCGGAUGCAGGUUUUUCCGGUGAAGUGCGUGCUUGUGCGUGCUUGACAAGUGUUCGCGGUUGGCUUCCUCAGUGUGGGAGUAACAUCGUGUAAGAGAGGUGGAACCCGUAAAAUUGUAGUUUGCGUGGUGGCUGGUAAGAUUUGUUGCGGUAAGAAGUUUGCAUGGUGGUAAAAUGUCUUGUGAGUCUGCACAGGUAGCCGGAGGUGAGACUUCCGCGGUCGCGGCCCACCCAGUCCGCGAGAACCGGGCAGAUCGCCUCGACGGUACGGAGGCCAGCUGACGGGUCCGCCAAACGACGAGACCACGCUUCCAGCACGGACUGCCGAUAUUGGAGCCCCCGCGCUCCGGCUGCACUUGCGCUAGGGCGCGCCGCCUCGUAGGAGACUGUGAGCCUGCAAAACCUGAACAACCUCCUCAUCCGUGGGCGCCCGGCUCUCGCCUGCAAGUCGGCUGUUACGUGUGCGGUGAUGCGAGCCAUGUAGCUUCUGGGUGUUCCAUGCGCUACAAGAAGAAAAACGACACUGCUCCAGGUGCUGUGGCAGGUCCAACCAGAGACGUCAACGUGUGUUCCAGAGCUUCAGUGUGUUACAGAUAAGUGGUUUUGGCUUCCCCUUUAUGUUCCAUUCAGGGUUAGAAUGUAGUCUUAUAAAACAAAGCCAUAGUAAUUUAUUUAAUGGUAAGCGGUUUCAUGAACAAGUCACCGUAGUCACCCUAGACACGUCCUUACGGAUCCAUCAGAUCCAAUAACUCUUGCAUUAGAUACCUUCAGCUCUAACACUAGGAGCAGGCUGAGGAACCCCAGUAAUCGUACUCGUCGAACUCGACAAAGAGGUCGACGUGCAACCUAACCCAUGCAUCAGCCCACUGAGUUUCUCGCCGGAUCUUCUCAGUGGGUCGCGAUUCCGAUCCGGUAGUAGAUUCAUUCGCGAAGCAAUUGCUCUUGAGUUGUUAGGUCUCCUGCGGAGGCGCUCGGGCAGUUGUUAGCAAAUCCCACCCCUCUUGGCUGAGCCUUUGCUCGCCCACCCGUCCUGGUGAAGCGGGAAAGGCCUCCGGGCCACCAGUAAUCUUUCAAUCAUCUGCAGUUUUGGAAAACGAUAGGUAUAAGUUGAGACAUAUAAAUGGUUCUAGUGUACAAAGUUCCCCAUGAAAACUUACGCGAAGUACCUCGAGGCCCGUCAGGCCUACUAGAAAUUUCUGAAAAUUAUAGUGACGAUGACGUGACGGCGUACACAGAUGGGUUAAUUAAUCUUGUUCAUGAAACUGAUCUUAAUGAUGACGACUCUAUCACUGACAAUAGAAGCGACAUUUUUGUCCGCAAAUAGCGAUACAGCAAACAUAGUCUGUGGGUAGUGAUACAAUGUCUGUAAGCUUAGGCACCUCAGGUGCAGGUGUUGGAAAUGUAGAAAACGAUGGUCGGUCUCGCACUAUUUCUGAAGAAAUUCCGUAUAAAUGUUCUGGUUUAAGAAAUGUUUUAACAAACGCUACCGUACACGCAGAUUAAAAAAAAAAAAGAGAAUUGUAUGUGGCUAGAGAGAUGUUAAUCCGGACUAGCAAAAAAAAAAGAGAAAAAAAAAAGAAAGUGUGAAGUCAUUGAAGGGUCUGUCCGGUCCAAUGGCUUGGCUAUAGGGAUUUUCAUCCAGAUUAGCCACAGCAAUUAGCUACAGGGAUUGCGAUUCGGUCUAGCAUUAUCCGGUCCAGUUCGAAAAACUGAAGGGAUAACAACUCCGGUCUAAGUUAAAAGGGACAUACUUACAUACCUGAAGAGUUUUAAAUGAACUGGCCCAGGUAUGUAAGCAGUCUGAAGGUUAUUUAUAGCCAGUAUAGGAUUUUCUGAAGAAUUAUGCGAACCGAACCGUACUAGAUUGUUAAUAUCAUAGACCACGUUUUAAGUUGCAUCCGUUAAUGUCAGGAUGAACGAACACAUUUGUUGUUCACAGACAUACCAUAAGAAUGCGCGCACGAGGACGAGCGCACGUCAGUAUGGCCGUGACGGCGUUAACGAUAUUUAUGUUAUAUAGCACGUGCAAUAGGAGUGACUCACACAAGCCAGGCGCGCCGGCCGUGUCGUUCCACUCGUAAACAACAGCUGCAACAGAAGUGACUCAUAAGCCAGCUGCGCCGGCUAGUAUAAAAAGGCGGAACGUGCCUUGAAAUGAACAUUCGUUGGACUGCGCUUGCCUGGUGCACUUACUAUAUCCUUGUUACGUUGUGUGAUUCAGUGACUGUUGUACGUACUGGUUAAAGUUGGACAAGUGUUAAAGUGAAUUGUUAAGAUAACAUAUUAUUGAUUAAAUCAGGAACCAAAAAG